GUAUUUAGGGCCUGGAUCCAGAGCUCAUUGAAGUCAAUGGUAAUUUUCCCACUAAUUUCAAUGGGCUUUGGAUCAGGCCCUUAUUCC
rnacentral:pre_miRNA from 1 species